GACGAACGUUGGCGGCGUGCUUAACACAUGCAAGUCGAACGGAAAGGCCCUGCUUUUGUGGGGUGCUCGAGUGGCGAACGGGUGAGUAACACGUGAGUAACCUGCCCUUGACUUUGGGAUAACUUCAGGAAACUGGGGCUAAUACCGGAUAGGAGCUCCUGCUGCAUGGUGGGGGUUGGAAAGUUUCGGCGGUUGGGGAUGGACUCGCGGCUUAUCAGCUUGUUGGUGGGGUAGUGGCUUACCAAGGCUUUGACGGGUAGCCGGCCUGAGAGGGUGACCGGCCACAUUGGGACUGAGAUACGGCCCAGACUCCUACGGGAGGCAGCAGUGGGGAAUAUUGCACAGUGGGCGGAAGCCUGAUGCAGCAACGCCGCGUGCGGGAUGACGGCCUUCGGGUUGUAAACCGCUUUCGCCUGUGACGAAGCGUGAGUGACGGUAAUGGGUAAAGAAGCACCGGCUAACUACGUGCCAGCAGCCGCGGUGAUACGUAGGGUGCGAGCGUUGUCCGGAUUUAUUGGGCGUAAAGGGCUCGUAGGUGGUUGAUCGCGUCGGAAGUGUAAUCUUGGGGCUUAACCCUGAGCGUGCUUUCGAUACGGGUUGACUUGAGGAAGGUAGGGGAGAAUGGAAUUCCUGGUGGAGCGGUGGAAUGCGCAGAUAUCAGGAGGAACACCAGUGGCGAAGGCGGUUCUCUGGGCCUUUCCUGACGCUGAGGAGCGAAAGCGUGGGGAGCGAACAGGCUUAGAUACCCUGGUAGUCCACGCUGUAAACGGUGGGUACUAGGUGUGGGGUCCAUUCCACGGGUUCCGUGCCGUAGCUAACGCUUUAAGUACCCCGCCUGGGGAGUACGGCCGCAAGGCUAAAACUCAAAGGAAUUGACGGGGCCCCGCACAAGCGGCGGAGCAUGCGGAUUAAUUCGAUGCAACGCGUAGAACCUUACCUGGGUUUGACAUGGAUCGGGAGUGCUCAGAGAUGGGUGUGCCUCUUUUGGGGUCGGUUCACAGGUGGUGCAUGGCUGUCGUCAGCUCGUGUCGUGAGAUGUUGGGUUAAGUCCCGCAACGAGCGCAACCCUUGUUCACUGUUGCCAGCACGUUAUGGUGGGGACUCAGUGGAGACCGCCGGGGUCAACUCGGAGGAAGGUGGGGAUGACGUCAAGUCAUCAUGCCCCUUAUGUCCAGGGCUUCACGCAUGCUACAAUGGCUGGUACAGAGAGUGGCGAGCCUGUGAGGGUGAGCGAAUCUCGGAAAGCCGGUCUCAGUUCGGAUUGGGGUCUGCAACUCGACCUCAUGAAGUCGGAGUCGCUAGUAAUCGCAGAUCAGCAACGCUGCGGUGAAUACGUUCCCGGG
rnacentral:rRNA from 1 species